AGCGGCGCCCCCACGGGGACCCACGGCCAGGGACAGCAGUUCCCCCCCAGCUGGCAGCAGCUCCCCCAGGGCCCCCCCUGGCCCUUCCUCGGCUCCUCCCAGUGACCCAAAACCCCCAAAAUUUACCC